rnacentral:rRNA from 1 species
UGCGUAGGGAGCAAGCGUUAUCCGGAUUUACUGGGUGUAAAGGGCGGGUAGGCGGGAUGGCAAGUCAGAUGUGAAAUCCAGGGGCUCAACCCCUGAACUGCAUUUGAAACUGUCGUUCUUGAGUACUGGAGAGGUUGACGGAAUUCCUAGUGUAGCGGUGAAAUGCGUAGAUAUUAGGAGGAACACCAGUGGCGAAGGCGGUCAACUGGACAGCAACUGACGCUGAGGCGCGAAAGCGUGGGGAGCAAACAGG